UACGUAGGGGGCUAGCGUUGCUCGGAAUCACUGGGCGUAAAGCGCACGUAGGCGGCUCUUUAAGUCAGGGGUGAAAUCCCAAGGCUCAACCUUGGAACUGCCUUUGAUACUGGGGAUCUCGAGUCCGGAAGAGGUGAGUGGAACUGCGAGUGUAGAGGUGAAAUUCGUAGAUAUUCGGAAGAACACCAGUGGCGAAGGCGACUCACUGGCCCGUUACUGACGCUGAUGCGCGAAAGCGUGGGGAGCAAACAGG
rnacentral:rRNA from 1 species